rnacentral:tRNA from 1 species
CGGGAUGUAGCGCAGUUGGUAGCGCACCUGGUUUGGGACCAGGGGGUCCCAGGUUCGAGUCCUGGUAUCCCGACC